CCUACGGGAGGCAGCAGUGGGGAAUAUUGGGCAAUGGGCGCAAGCCUGACCCAGCAACGCCGCGUGAAGGAAGAAGGCUUUCGGGUUGUAAACUUCUUUUGUCAGGGAAGAGUAGAAGACGGUACCUGACGAAUAAGCCACGGCUAACUACGUGCCAGCAGCAGCGGUAAUACGUAGGUGGCAAGCGUUGUCCGGAUUUACUGGGUGUAAAGGGCGUGUAGCCGGGUUGACAAGUCAGAUGUGAAAUCCUGCGGCUUAACCGCAGAAUUGCAUUUGAAACUGUUGGUCUUGAGUACAGGAGAGGCGGACGGAAUUCGUGGUGUAGCGGUGAAAUGCGUAGAUAUUAGGAGGAACGCCGGUGGCGAAGGCAGUCUGCUGGACAGCAACUGACAGUGAGGCGCGAAAGCGUGGGGAGCAAACAGGAUUAGAUACCCCUGUAGUC
rnacentral:rRNA from 1 species